rnacentral:sRNA from 1 species
GUGGUAUACUAAUAAAAGUAUUCAAAAUGCUAUCUUAGGCGCGCAUGUUUUUGUAAGUCAUGGUUCGUUUUGAUGAUUUACAAAAAUGUGCGCGCUUUAAAUUGCACCAACGGAUAUGAAUUUUUUAGAUGGAGGUACCAGAAUGAACAACGGUACAGUAAAAUGGUUUAACUCAGAAAAAGGCUUUGGAUUUAUUUCCAACGACGACGGCAGCGGCGACGUAUUCGUACAUUUCUCCGCGAUUGCUUCCGACGGCUACAAAACGCUCAACGAAGGCCAGAAGGUCACGUUUGAUACGGAAGCCGACCCGAAGAACAGCAGCAAGGUAAGAGCGGUCAACGUUUGCCCCUGCU